CCUACGGGUGGCAGCAGUGGGGAAUAUUGGGCAAUGGAGGAAACUCUGACCCAGCGACGCCGCGUGAAGGAUGAAGGUUUUCGGAUUGUAAACUUCUGUUGCGAGGGAUGAAGAUUGACGGUACCUCGUAAGGAAGCCCCGGCAAACUACGUGCCACCAGCCGCGGUAUUCCGGAGGGGGCAAGCGUGGUCCGGUUUGACUGGGCGGAAAGGGAGGGUAGGCGGCCGUAUAAGUCUGAUGUGAAAGCCUUCGGCUUAACCGGGGUAGUGCAUUGGAAACUGGGCGGCUGGAGUGCAGAAGGGGAGAGCGGAACUCCAAGUGUAGCGGUGAAAUGCGUAGAUAUAUGGAAGAACACCAGUGGCGAAAGCGGCUCACUGGUCUGUAACUGACGCUGAGGUUCGAAAGCGUGGGUAGCAAACAGGAUUAGAUACCCUAGUAGUC
rnacentral:rRNA from 1 species